rnacentral:tRNA from 1 species
GGAAAUAUGGCUCAGCAGUUAAGAGCACUGACAGCUCUUCCAGAGUAUCUGGGUUCAAUUCCCAGUACCCCCA